rnacentral:rRNA from 1 species
GACAGAGGGUGCAAACGUUGUUCGGAAUUACUGGGCGUAAAGCGUGUGUAGGCGGCCGCGCAAGUCGGAUGUGAAAGCCCCGGGCUCAACCCGGGAAGUGCACCCGAUACUGCAUGGCUCGAGUACUGGAGAGGUUGGUGGAAUUCUCGGUGUAGAGGUGAAAUUCGUAGAUAUCGAGAGGAACACCGGUGGCGAAGGCGGCCAACUGGACAGUGACUGACGCUGAGACGCGAAAGCGUGGGGAGCAAACAGG